GGCCUGGUUGGAUGGUCUGCCUUUGGGCAUGUACUGUCCUGACUGGGUCUUACCUUCUGGUGAGCUGUUUGUGUCACUUGUGGCGCGGCAGGGAACCAGGACUUUUACUUUGAAAAAAUUAGAGUGUUUAAAGCAGGCAUUCGCUUGAAUACAUUAGCAUGGAAUAAUAAAAUAGGACUUUGGUUCUAUUUUGUUGGUUUCUAGGACCGAAGUA
rnacentral:rRNA from 1 species